GAUGAAGAACGCAGCAAAAUGCGAUAAGUAAUGUGAAUUGCAGAAUUCAGUGAAUCAUCGAAUCUUUGAACGCACAUUGCGCCCGCUGGUAUUCCGGCGGGCAUGCCUGUUCGAGCGUCAUUUCAACCCUCAAGCCCCCGGGUUUGGUGUUGGGGAUCGGCUCUGCCCUUCUGGGCGGUGCCGCCCCCGAAAUACAUUGGCGGUCUCGCUGCAGCCUCCAUUGCGUAGUAGCUAACACCUCGCAACUGGAACGCGGCGCGGCCAUGCCGUAAAACCCCAACUUCUGAAUGUUGACCUCGGAUCAGGUAGGAAUACCCGCUGAACUUAAGCAUAUCAAUGAGCGGAGGA
rnacentral:misc_RNA from 1 species